rfam:Beta vulgaris subsp. vulgaris Bvchr9.sca011.con0035.1, whole genome shotgun sequence.
UGCCUAUUAGCUCAAUAUGGGAGAGCAUUGGCAACACGCAAAGAUGUAGGUUCAACUCCUACAUAGGCAA